CCCGCGGUAGCUCAGCUUGGUAGAAAUAUUGCCAAAAGCUUCCGGCUGUAGACCGGACUGUCGUCGGUUCAAAUCCGACCCGCGGGACCA
rnacentral:tRNA from 1 species